AGCAGAGUGUGCUGGGGAACCUAGGCAGUGAGCUGAGGCUCAGGGGGAGUGGGAAACAUGGCCUGUGUCCUGGCACCCUCAGGAUGCUGGCAUGGAGGGGGAGGAUGGGGGAAAGAGGCGACCCUGCAGCUGUGUUCUGUUUGCAGACACGCUGAGUAAGGACCAAGGCUGGGGACCAACCAAGGCCCUUGGACGACACAGGGAGAGACACCCACGGGACCCUCCCCAGAGCAGAGGGCAGGCCCCCCACCAUCCAAUUCCCUCCUGAGGCUUGGCUGCCACGUUGGCUGCAAAGUUAUGAUCUGGCCUCUCUCACCUCUCCUUUGGGGACAGUGGGAGGGCAAGGGAGGAACAUGUUCUUUAAGAGGAGACCCUGAAGAUGUUGGGGGGCUUCAGUUAAAAGAAAAUAAAGCUGAGGGGAGCCCAGGGCUGAGGAGACCGGAAUGCACUUGCGCGAAUAGGUCCCCCAUCAAUCAGAGGACGUCUUGCCUUCACCUCCUUGUCUUCCUCCUCCCUGUUUCCAAAACAGCGUUUUGGGAACCCUGUUGUUCCCAGGCUGGUUCCAGGAAGAACUGGAGAGAUAUGGAUGGAACAGGGAUCUACGGCGGCAGGGGAACACAGGCGAUGGCUGGAUCACAAGGUCUGCAGCUCUCUCCCGGACUGUGCCAUCUGGAACCCUGGCUCAUUCGAGGGUUACACCCGCAAAGCCCAUCUCCUGACAAGGAAAUCAUGGAACCCUCAGCACAGCUCAGAGAGGCCGGGACUGUCAUUACCCCGCACCAAAGAUGACAGCGCGGAGGCGCAAGGAAAUCUUGGGAGUUGCCCAAGGUCACAGAGCUAGGAAGGGGCCAUGCGGGGACAAAGCCCGGGUUCCCCUGCCUCCAAAUCCUGACCUCUUUUCCCUGCCCAGCUCUGCCCCCGGGGAAGGAUCCAAUGACACUGAAUCGUCUCUUUUUCAGAGUUUAACAUUUUGGGCCAAAUCUGAGUGAGGUUUGCUGUUUCCUCUGAAAAGUUUGGCCUGACCUCAGGGCACCGCUGCCUGGUCACUGGCAAGAGUCCUGCACUGGCCGGGAUGGGCCGGCGGGCGGGCUGUUCUGGACACAAGUCAACAGAAACUCAGAUAACCCAAUAAAAGUUCUUAUUUACCUUUGUGGUCA
rnacentral:lncRNA from 12 species